rnacentral:rRNA from 1 species
CCUACGGGUGGCUGCAAUAGCAAUCUUUCUACUUCUAACAGAAGGCGUAUUACAAACUUCAUUAAUAAGGUUAAAGAUUUGAUCAUGCAAACUGGAAAAAUCUGCAUAGAAGAUAUCAGGAAAAAGUAUUCCGCAAGAUUUUUUAAUGUCUACUAUACAAUGGGUUAGGAUUAAUUCUAUCUCACUAUCGCUGAAUAACUUUUCCAAGAUUAGACCUUUAUAUAUUUAAUUAUAUUUGAAAGUCAUAGUAAUACAUACCCUUCCCACCACAUCCAUCCCCAUGAUACUAAUAUAACUAUAACUAAUAGUAAAGUUAUUCCAUCAAUUAUCUUCCAAAUUAUUUGGUGAUGUCCUGAGUGAUGGUAAAGGUGCUUUUUACCACGGUGCGCACAUUUCCAUCGGCAUCGGUCAACUGAACAUCGUAGAAAUAUGCCCCAAUAAUUGCGGUAUUGGCCGCUGUCGGAGUGAACGUCACCACCCUAGUAGUC